GAUUUUGGAAUAAGUUGAAUAGAUCAUAGGUUAGUUGCAUCAUCUGGAAUUGAACUGUACCGCAUCAGACCAGAUAUAUCUAUUUAGAGAAAGGGAUCAAAAUCCUCAUUCAUUCCUACUUUCCAGCCACUACGGAUUGAUUGUCCCUACCUUGUGCAGAGUUCAGACCUGGUGUGUGUAAACUGUGAGGUCCUCCUGCAAAUUAAGACGUGGCAAUUACUCCUCCGCACUGUUACAAUGGUCCAGAGUGUCCAGACCCAGACUACGUACAUAAUGGAUUCUUAGAGCAAGAUCUCCGUCACAUAUAUUUCUAUGACGUGGCAAUUACUCUGUCUCUUAUUUUGGAUGCUACACCAUCCCGGUAAUGAAAAUUUUGUGCUCUGGCUGUCAUAUUAAUGGCGGAUCCUCGUGUUCUUGUCCAGUUGUCCCCUUGAAGUAUACUGUAACCGAAUGAAAGAGAUCAUAACUGAUAAGUAUUUUCAGGUAAGCAUUUGCUCUUCCUCACUCUAAUUUCUGCGUUUUCCUCUCUGAUGUUUUUGUUAAAAUGCCGCUGUAAUGAGCAGAAAUCCUGGGUUCCCAAAUUGGAAUCUUGGUUGGGAACUCCUCUGUAAUGUUUUCCUCUGUUAAAAAUUGAUUCUUGAUUGUUUGAUUCUUACGGGUUAAGCGUUGGAAGAUGGAAGUGGUUUCAAUAAAAGAAUCAGAUUCUUAAUAUCCUUUAUGAAAUGAGUAAAUUAUGAAUGAGGAUUCAUGUCCUUUGAAUGUGACAACAGGGAUUCAAUGGACAAAGCAGAGGCCACCAAUAGAAUUCAUAAUGGGUCCGUUAAAACAGUGGUUAGUUUGUAUGUAGAACAAAUGAAUGAAGAAAAACCGCAAUGGAAGAAAACCCAGGUGGCAUUCUCUGAUGUACAGAAAUCGGCUUCGAGAGCGAAAGAAUUAUAUUUGGCAAAGAGGGACAUUGGUCUAUUCAAUGAGAAUAGAAAGGUUGCAGAAUCUGUAAAAUCCCAAGCAGAAUCUGAGCUCUACAGUGCAAGGAUGAGAGUGAAGGAUCUCACUUCGCAGAUUGAAGAAUCGGUCUUAAUAGAAAAAUCUCAGAAAAGUGAACUUGAAAAGCUGCAGAAGCAGGAAAUACAUUAUAAUGGAUUUGCAGUCACUGUACGGAAAGCAGAUAAGCACCAGUUUGCACAAGUGAUGAGGGAUUUGGAGUUUGCAAAACAACAAUUGAGUAAGCUUAAACUUGAGAGGGAUUCUGUCCUGAAAGCAAAAUUGCAGGCAAACAAAGAAUUUGAAGCCUCGUUUUCUAGAUUGAAAUCUCAUUCAAGCACUGUGCAAGCGCUAAGAAAAGAGAUUGAGGAAACCAAUGAAGAGCUAGUACUUGUUCAUCUGGCUAGGAUUGAAGCAGUUAAAGAACUUGGAACAAUUGAAGCCCAAAGAGAAGCAAAGGCCUCUCAAUUCUCAGGGAAAUUGGAUAGAACCAGAAAUAGAAUCAAGGACAUUACCCAAGAACUAGAGCAUGCAAAGGAACUGGAGAGCGAACUGGCCAUUACAAUUUCAGAUGUUGAUGUUUUACAAAAUGAAUUGAAGCUAGUUAAGGCAAUGAACGAAAGGGUUGAGAAUGAAAAAUCAGGUGAUAUCGAAGCCCAUAAGGGAAGGGAAGUGGAAACACAAGCUUCAAGGUUAUUGCAUCCAAUUACUGGAGAAUUGGAUGCUGCAAAGAAGGAAUUAGCAAGUAUCAGAGAAGAAGAAUUUCAAUUAAUGGCCUCUAUGGAUACAGUACGAGAUGAACUCAAGCAUAUUUCUGAAGAAAGUGCUCAGCUGAGGACAUUAGAAGAGAAAUCAGACUUGCUUCUACAAAGCAUAGGUUCUAAACUCCUUAAGGGCAAAUCCAAGCUGAAAGCUGCAUAUACUGCCGAAGAGAAAGCAAAAACAAUUGUGUCCAAUCUUUCAGAGACACUUCAACAGUUACAACUAGAAGCAAUGACUGCAAAUAGAGAGAAGAAACUUCUUAUUGAAGAAGCUGCACGCGUCAGAACAGAAGAAAUUCAGAAGACAGAGUCUGAGAAUGACGUAGCAGAGGAUAUGUUACAAGCUGCCAUGAAGGAGCUUGAAGCAGUCCAAGCAUCAGAAGCAAUCACUCUUGAGAGAUUAAAAUCUCUUACUGAGAAAACCUUGAAGGCAAUAGCUUCAGAAUCUCAGCACAAGUCUUCGGUAACCAUCUCAAAUUUUGAAUAUGAGUACUUGACUAGUCGGGCAGAAGGGGCUGAGGAAAUUGCAGAUAAGAAGGUUGUGGCAGCUCAGGCAUGGACUGAAGCACUAGAGGCCUCUGAGAAAGAGAUAUUGUUGAACUAUGAAACAGCUCAGCGAGAGAUUAGGGAGCUAAUGCUGGUGUAAAAGCAAGAGGUAUACAGAAUAGAGAAGUAAAUAAAGGAGAAGAGACAACAUGAGAAACACCGAGAAGCCACAAACACACAGCUUGAGAAAGUUUUGCCAAAAAAUUCAUUAAGACAAUGGCAGCUCGACACCGAAAAGUCGUAGCUUUCCUGAAAGGAUGCAUGUAAACCGCUCUGCUACAAUCACUACGAAGAAAAGGAAGAAGGAAGUGCGGUUGAAGCAGAAGCAAGGGGACUCAUCUGAGGGAUCUGAGCAAUGUUAUUGGGUAGAAAAUCCAUAGAAGUUUGGACCAGUUCAAAGCUCUUGACCCAGAUGUUUCCAAAGAUUCAUGAGAUGGCACGGCUAUGGGACAGUUUCUAUGUGCUGUUUAAUAUACAGUCUUAUUAAACUUCUGGGAGAAGGCUGGGCACAGCACCCACAUGCUGCAAGCUAGCGCUCGCUGUGUUUAUCUUUCUGUUCCCCUUUCGAAAUGAACCUCUGCCCUCCUGGAUAAUGCCCCGUCCCGCUUUUCUAUUGGUGCAGUCCGCUAGCUUGCCGCACACAGGCAGGGUGCCUGCCUCUCUCCCUUAACAUUUUAACUCCUUUUGUAUUUAAGCACUAGCUAGUCAGGGACUCAGGGUAGGUUGCAAGUGUUGUUCAGUACUUCGCUAGCUUUUGGAAUGGUUCUUUCUUCUUAGAAACUGUAAUCUGUCCAUCUGUGACUAGAAAAGAUAAGAUUUAAGAAUUUUCAUCUUACUUUCUUA